GCCUGGUUAGCUCAAUCGGUAGAGCGUGAGACUCUUAAUCUCAAGGCUGCGGGUUCGAGGCCCCGCAUCGGGCU
rnacentral:tRNA from 1 species